rnacentral:rRNA from 1 species
GAUGAACGCUAGCGGCAGGCCUAACACAUGCAAGUCGAGGGAGAGGUUAUCUUCGGGUAACCAAAACCGGCGCACGGGUGUGUAACGCGUAUACAAUCUGCCUUUCACAUAGGGAUAGCCCGAAGAAAUUUGGAUUAAUACCUAAUGGUAUAUAAGAGCGGCAUCGUUUUUAUAUUAAAGCUACAGUGGUGAAAGAUGAGUAUGCGUUCUAUUAGCUAGUUGGAGAGGUAACGGCUCCCCAAGGCGACGAUAGAUAGGGGUUCUGAGAGGGAUGUCCCCCACACUGGUACUGAGAUACGGACCAGACUCCUACGGGAGGCAGCAGUGAGGAAUAUUGGACAAUGGUCGGAAGACUGAUCCAGCCAUGCCGCGUGCAGGAUGAAGGUCCUAUGGAUUGUAAACUGCUUUUGUAAGGGAAGAAUAAGGAGUACGUGUACUUUGAUGACGGUACCUUACGAAUAAGCAUCGGCUAACUCCGUGCCAGCAGCCGCGGUAAAUACGGAGGAUGCGAGCGUUAUCCGGAAUCAUUGGGUUUAAAGGGUCCGUAGGCGGGCUGAUAAGUCAGAGGUGAAAGCGCUUAGCUCAACUAUCAACUGCCUUUGAACUGUUAGUCUUGAAUGAUUGUGAAGUAUUGUAAUGAGAGGAGUAGC